CAACGGUUCUCGUUAGAUCACCGAAGUCAAACAUCAUUGAGCGCGGCCAGUACUUGGGUGGGUGACCACUUGGGAACACCGCGUGC